GCCGUGCUUCACGGACAAGCUACGCAUUAAAAAAAUAUCGACACAUUGCAUAUUGCAGCCAGCUUGAUUACAAUAGGAUUGAGUGAGAGUGCGGCCCUAAGUUAAUGUGUUUGGGCUCGGCCCACAGUGUGCUGUGUAUUGCGCCAGGUCAGGCGGACUCUGUAUGUGGCAGCCACAGCAGAUGGCAGCAAGUUGAGAGAGGCUAUUUAUGCCAAGGUCGGCCUAAAACGGAUCGCUGGAGUUUUUCACACAUACGUCACAGCUGCUAGUUUCAGUGACAGCUUGAGAAACGAGCAGCUCUUUUUUUUUAAGAUGAUGACAUUCCAUGUUUCUGUGUAGAGACAUAUAUUAAACAUGAUCAACAACAACAGUAUUAGGGACAUGCAGGGAUUUCUGAAUAGAAGAAGAAAAUUUCAAUAGAGCCACUAUGAGCGGAUGGACCAAUUUGAUGAUGUCUUUAGUACUUUUCUGGACCUUGACAACAACUAUAACCAUGAUGUCUAUGAGGAGGCCUGGAAAUCUCUCGGAUGUCACCUAAAACAUCUUUAUUUGUGUUCCCAAGAUGCCAGGAGGUCUUAAAACAUGUUGAACGUCAUGUGGUCAUAGAGUCUGUCCUCUGCACAUCCAUCACUGGUUUGGCUCAGCCACAAAGUCAGACAUCAGAAGACUACAGAGGAUGGUUCGGACUGCUGAGAAGAUCAUUGGUGCUCCCCUGCCCACCCUCCAAGAACUGUUUACAUCCAGAGUGAGGAAAAGGGCUCAGAAAAUCACCCUGGACCUCUCACAUCCAAGCCAUCAUCUCUUCACAAUGCUGCCGUCUGCGCCGCUGGGCAUUAUUCCCUGACACUUCAGCGCCACCCACGGCUGGCUCUGCCGUCUUAAACGGCUUCUGGGCUCUCUAUCAGCUGGAUCUGCCGUCUCAACGGUCUCGGGACUCUCUGGCUUGCCGCGGCCGACACAGUGGCUACUGGACUCUCUGUCUGCCAGCAUUGCCAUCUCAAACGGCCACUAGACUCUCUGGCAGCUGACUCUGCCGUCGCUUCGGGAUACUGACUACUAGCCCUGCCUUCACAGCGGACACCGCGAUUGCUGACCACUCUUUUGCCAUCACCAGCGCUGACCGUGACACUCUGCUCCUGACCAGUCAUCCAUCCCUCCACCUCUGCUGAUGCUGCCGUACACUGGGUUUCCCAGUUGGCCUCGCAGUCGGCUUCGACGACCUGGGUCUUCUGUUGGUCCAGCCAUUGUUGAACUCUCUCAGUGCAUCAGUCUGUGUGUCUUUUCUUAAUAAACUUCAUUGUUACCCGCAAUUGAAUCUGUGUGUUUCACAUCCCUGACAGGUAUGUGCGAUUAAUCGUGAUUAAUCACAGAAAGAAAUAUGUGAUUAAUCAGAUUAAUUUUUUUAAUCGAUUGACAGCACUACUUUAUACACAUCUGAACACAUAGUUAUGUACUGUAUAUUAUACUGCAUUUCUGUCAACAGAUCCUCCAAAAAAUUACACACUGGACCUUUAAGGUAAGAUAAGAUAAGAUAACUGUUAAAAUGUGUAAUGGUGAUGUGCUGCAAUGUAUACAUCUGUGUUUUUUUCCCAACAAUUAUAUAACAAUGUUGAUAUCAUUAGAAAAGUGUGAAA